GGGUCAGUAGGUUGGUCGUGCCACCGGUACGUACUGGUCUCACUGAUUCCUCCUUCCCGAAGAACCGUAAUGCCAUUAAUUUGGUGUUGCGGGGAAACAGGACUGUUACUUUGAAAAAAUUAGAGUGUUUGAAGCAAGCUAACGCUUGAAUACAUUAGCAUGGAAUAAUGAAAUAGGACGAUCGAUCCUAUUUUGUUGGUUUCUAGGAUUGACGUA
rnacentral:rRNA from 1 species